AACACUGUUAACCUGCGGUACCUGCGGAAGGAUCAUUAUCGAGUUUUGACUGGGUUGUAGCUGGCCUUCCGAGGCAUGUGCACGCCCUGCUCAUCCACUCUACACCUGUGCACUUACUGUGGGUUUUACGGGUCGUGAAAUGGGCUCGUUCAUUCGGGCUUGUUGAGCGCACUUGUUGCCUGCGUUUAUCACAAACUCCAUAAAGUAUUAGAAUGUGUAUUGCGAUGUAACGCAUCUAUA
rnacentral:misc_RNA from 1 species